rnacentral:rRNA from 1 species
CAAUAGCGUAUAUUAAAGUUGUUGCAGUUAAAAAGCUCGUAGUUGGAUUUCUGGGAGGGUGCCAAUGUCCGCCGACGUGCGUGCGCAGCGGCGCCCUUCCAUCCUUCUGUUAACGCCUCUUGGCAUUCAUUUGCUGGUGGCGGGCUCAGAUAUUUUACCUUGAGAAAAUUAGAGUGUUUCAGGCAGGCUAGGCCGGAAUACAUUAGCAUGGAAUAAUGGAAUAGGACUACGGUCUCUUUGUUGGUUUGAGGGACUGCAGUAAUGAUUAAUAGGGAUAGUUGGGGGCAUUAGUAUUUAAUUGUCAGAGGUGGAAUUCUCGGAUUUGUUAAAGACUAACUUAUGCGAAAGCAUUUGCCAAGGAUGUUUUCAUUA